CAAAGAUGGCUGAUGGCGCAACUAGCGUUUUUACCGUUGGUAGCAUCUGAAAUUGCUGAUGCUUGCUUGUUAACAAAAAACUGUCGAGUCACGUACACGUGCAGUGCUAGUUGGUGAUCAGGCAAGCCAUGUAGAAGACUUGAAUAGUUUGUGAAAGGAUUCGAAAGCCUUCGCCUACGGAACAGACUCAAGGAUCACUCAAAUUUCUUCUUAAUCGUCAUUCAUCAGUGCUCCACGGCCAAGUUUCACCGCCCCACGAGGUGUGAGUCAGCCUUGACCUAGCAGAACAUUAUCAUACCCUCGAUUCCACCCUCGUUUUGAAAGAAAGAGUAAGGAAACGGAGAAUGUGAAUACAUGUUUCUAUAAAGCGUUCAGAAAGCAUUAAGCUGUGUUUUUAGUGUGAAAAAGAGAGAGAUGUAGGAAAACAUUUGUUAGCAAUGUUUCUGCUACUGAAUGAGAGGGGUGCGUUCUAGAGCAGCUCUUUUUCGCCUCCCUGUUAGUUGGGUGCGCUCGACUGUGUCCCUCUUAUAUUGAUGUUCUACAGUGCGCAUAAUGACAGAGAUUUAGACUAAACGUACAGCUAAAGUACGUAUUUUUCAAAAGGAAAACCGAAGACAAAGAAACAAGUUCUAUUUCUGCACCCCCUUAAUCUUCUUACAGCCUGUGAUCAUAUCAGUGGUAUAUAAUGCACCGCGUCGUACUCUGAAAUAAAACCUAGAACGAAGCAAGCGCACAUGUGGUGAUGGAAAGGAACUGAAUCAAAAGAUAACCUGCGUAUAAAAUUCGCUUUCAAACCUAGCGUUUUAAUGGUGAAAUAUUAUUUAUAAAUGAAUAAUAUUUUGACACUAUUAUCCCACAGCUUUUAGAGUUUCAUGAAUAAAUCUGUGUGUAAAAAGGGUAUUUGAUCUUACAAAAAACCAGGCCACGUAUAAAAUAAUUUUACUUUUUGAGCGGAUAAUUAAUCCAUUCGGUACACAAACUUUAAUAUGUUAUAAAAGAGAAAAUUUUUAUUUGACAACUUAGCGUGUUCUGAAAUUAUAUACACGAUAUAAAGUUAAUCUCAUACAAUUAGCGUGCUCUUCUGAAAACAUGAUUCAUGUCCUAAAUAUUUCGAAACCGUCUCCUAGAAUCGUCGAAUUGUAGCCGGUAUUCUUGCAUACCUAUCAAAAUAACACUGUUUAAAAAAAAUAUAAAAUUAAUUAUUAACAAUUACAAAUUAAAUCCUAAAAUAAUAUUUUCAAGUUAUAUAAGACAACCAGAACUAUCACGAAGAUAAUUGGCUUGAUAAUUAUCCGACGUUUUGGAGGCGCUUACUACCGCCAGAAUCAGGGAGAUGAUAUAAGCACCUCUGAAACGUCGGUCAAUUUCUAAGUGCAACAUCCUAGAAAUCAAUAAUCUUCAUACUUACAUUUGUGAGAAUGUAAAAUGUCAGUAAGAAUUAGUAUUUUUAAUGUUACAUUG